UGGGGAAUUUUGGACAAUGGGCGCAAGCCUGAUCCAGCCAUGCCGCGUGAGUGAAGAAGGCCUUCGGGUUGUAAAGCUCUUUCAGACGGAAAGAAAUCUCUUGGGCGAAUACCCUGGGAGGAUGACGGUACCGUAAGAAGAAGCACCGGCUAACUACGUGCCAGCAGCCGCGGUAAUACGUAGGGUGCGAGCGUUAAUCGGAAUUACUGGGCGUAAAGCGUGCGCAGGCGGUGAUGUAAGACAGAUGUGAAAUCCCCGGGCUCAACCUGGGAACUGCGUUUGUGACUGCAUCACUCGAGUACGGCAGAGGGAGGUGGAAUUCCGCGUGUAGCAGUGAAAUGCGUAGAUAUGCGGAGGAACACCGAUGGCGAAGGCAGCCUCCUGGGCCAGUACUGACGCUCAUGCACGAAAGCGUGGGGAGCAAACA
rnacentral:rRNA from 1 species